CCUUACCAAGAUUUUUUUUUUAAGAACAAGGCUUUAUUGUAUUUAUUUAUUUAGAGGAAGAUUAGCCCUGAGCUAACAUUGCCACGAAUCCUUCUCUUUUUGCCGAGGAAGACUGGACCUGAGCUAACAUCCGUGCCCACCUUCCACCCAGAUCCGAAGCAGCGAACCCUGGCCGCCAAAGAGGAACGUGCAAACUUAGCCGCUGCGCCACCGGGCCGGCUCCCCGCCUCAAGGUAUUGAAAAAGACUAACUGGAAGGAGCAUCUGCUUGCUGAGUGUAGGCUGAGGCCCCAGCAAGAUUCUGCCCUCCAGGCUGAGCAAGGGCUCCAGAUGUGACUAAGCAAGCUCUCGGGUUAGCGCUCCGGCCCUCGCCUAUUGCCCAGCGGGAGGAGCCGGUAUUUCCGGAUUGGAGUCUCAGACCCUGGGAUCCCGGCUAAGGGCGAAGGGGAAGGGAAGCCGAUCAUAAAAGCUAACUUUUCACCAAAAUCGUUAACCUGCUUCCCAUCCCCUAGACAAAAACAAAGACCCCCAAACACACGCAACAGCCCACAACCAUCCUUCCCGUGGUCUGUUGACGGUAACAGGAGCUGACCCCUUCCUUGCCAACAUCCCUGGAGAGGUUCAAGAAGCAGACCUGGGCACGAAUAAAGAAAGCAGCACAGCGAAUUCCGCGCGCCCUCGGCGGGAAGAAAGCUCGGCGGCAGUUUCACAGAGAAGGGAAGAGGCGGGGCAGCGGGCGCGCCGGCUCGGGGACAAGGCGGCCGCGGCCCCUGCCCCAUCGCUGGGUGGCGUGUGAGGCUCCCCUCCGUCCUUCCCGACACCCCAAAGUAGAGCUUCGAGAAGCUGCGUCGGCCUCCCCGAGCUCGCACGCCGGGCACCCUCGGGGUCUCCGGGAAGCAGGUGACAGCCGUGGCCCACCCGUGUCCCCUCCGGGCCUCCGCUCUCUGGCUCGCCGCCGUCCAACACUCCCUGCCCCCAGCCUGGAUAUUUUUUUUUUUCUUUCUCCCAAACCUCCUAACAGGAAAUAGUUUGGGUCACACUAAUACACGGGAGCAGCGGCCGAGGCCACUCGCGCGCGCCCACUCCCGGGGCAGCCUCCUGCACUCCGGCGCGGGCGAGGCGCCGCCGGCGACAAGCGCGGGGAGCGCAGGGGCCACCCGCCCAGCAGCCGGUGCCGCCUCGGAUGCGCCCGAGCGCCGCCCGCGCCCUGUGCCGGACUCCGCCGACUGCCCCCAGAUGGAGAGAGAAGGAGAACAGGGAAUAGAGAAUUGUAAAGAAGCUUCUUAUGGGCCAGGCUUUGCAGUGGAAGCCAGAACUGCGUGCAUGGCUACACCUAAUGGGAAACAUAGUUUAGAUGUGUUCCCAGAAGAAAAGGAAAAUGGAUUUGCCGAACAACCAGCCAGUGUCUGCCACACACAGGAAGCCAGUCAAUGGAGAGCAAGAAGAAUGAGCAGAUGGACGAAGGGAGAUGAAAUGGAGAGAACCUUUUUAUGGCCUUCCAGGUUCUGGUGUCGGUCCCCUUCUGAGGCCCCGCUACAUUCCCGGCACCUGAGUUGAUGAGCCAUCCUGUGUCUUUGUAAUUUCCCUACUCUGCUGAAACUAGCUGCUGAUGGCUUCUAUAGUUUACAACCAAGACAGUUCUACCAGAUUCGCACACUCAGGAGGAUUGUAACAGCUUGGAGGAAACGCAUGUGUUCAAAAUCUCCCACCCCAUCUCUAGGAAGGUCCUGCGAGUUCCAGUUACUUAUAUCCAUUUCCAUAAUGACAUUAGCAGCCUGGAGAUUAGUAUUUACAAUUGAGCUAAACCCCUUCAUACAGAUGCUGCAGCUGAAGUCAGCACAAAAAAAAGCAAACCAAGACAGUUCGAGCAAGCUGUGCCGGAAAGAGUUGGUUAUUAUAUCACACGCAUUGAUUUAUAGGUUCAGUUUGCCUUUACCUAAAUGUCUAGUUAUUUAACAGCUGUUAUGAAUCAGCCGGAUAGAGGAUUAAGAAGGGGUGGGGGGGAAGUAGGUGAAAAAAUGCUUUAAUCUUUUGCUACAAUAGAGGAACAAGUUGAAUCAGGUCUCAUCUAGUCAUUUUGGUUCUCUGAGGCUUCUUAAAGGGGAGCAUUGUUCGAGUGGAAGGUGAGACAGCUUAACAUAGAUCAUUGGGUUGAGUUCACCCAGUUAACCCGUCAGCGAGUGACCUAGGCAAUGCCGGGUAUGGGUUAGAAAGCAAUGCACCAAUAAAUGUCGGGAGGAGCUGGCUCAGUCAAAGUUGUUCCAACUUGCUUUGGCUUUAAAUAGAUAACUUCCGAAGUUUGGAUGAGUACAUGAAGACCUAACGAGAUGUCACGUAAGGUAACACAUGGGUUACCAAACAGAAGGCAAGGCGGAGUUCGCUCAGGUGGACCCUUAACCAUGUUCAAUCUCAACAUCAAAAUCUUGGACAAUAGUCAGGGGGCAUUUACCAAGUGGAGGUAUCUCUUUGUAAGAAUUUCUUUUACUCAGGAGUUUACAAAGACAAAAAAGGACUUCCUGGGAGUGUCUGAAACCCUCUUCUAAGAUGAAACCGAGGCCAAGUUUCCUCUUUGUAUGUGUUCUGCACGCUGUGGAGAAGACAAGCUGGGUGCUGAGGCGACUGUCCGCUCCUUGACCCUAAGAUGAUCCUGACAGGUCUGCCUAGGGGAAGAGAUGCUGCACUGGUCCAGCGAGGAUGCUCCUCUGUGUCCCAGCUUGUUCUGGCCUUACUCAAUUUGGUCUGUGCUCAGAUGUCUGUCUUGCUCAAACCUUGGCCUAAGCAUUGUGCUUACUCAAAGUACAACGUCCUGAUUGUUUCUUCCUUGAUUUUUCCAGCACGUUUUGUGUCUCUUUAAAAUGCUCUGCAAAUUCCUAGCUCUGGCUCUUUUACCUGAACUUAACAACACCCCGCACUCCCCAACCCACCACCAGCACACACACUGGCAAUAGCUUUGUUCUUCUCGUGCUCAGAUCUACAGCUCCUCCUUGCAGCCAAACUGCCUCCACAUCUAGAUGCAGAAAGAGAGAAAACUUUCAGUCUUAAGGGAGCCUCGAGGCUCUGAGCCUCUGAGUGAGAAAGUAUAUAGUUGCAAGAGCAAUAUGAAUUACACCAGCACCUCCAAUUAGUUUGCUCUCUAGCCACAGGGCCUUUGCACAGGAAUGCUUUUCUACUCCUACUCACUUCACCUGGUUGACUCUGUUCUUUGUUUAAAUCUCAGCACAUUCAAUUCCUUUUUUACCUCCUAACUUGUUCGAUAUUGAAAUUAUAUCCUUCGGAGCUCCAUGUACCUCUCCUUCACAGCACUAUGACUCUAGUAAUUAUUUGUGCUAUUCUCUUUGAUUAUAGUUUCUCUCUCCCACUAGGCUUUCAGCUCUAUGAGGGUGGGAACUGUGAUUUUACUCGUUGGGUCCCCCAUUAUAGCACUGUGCUAAGCAUAUAGUGGGAGCUCCAUAAAUCUUUGUUUAAUGAAUGCAUAAAUAAUUGCGUUUUGAUACAUGAUACAAGGUUAUUACUAAGUCAUAGAAUCCAGAAAGCAACAAUGUCAGAGAGCGAAGCACCCAAGCUAGUUACAUCUGCUGAGGAUUUUCACAAUGUGACUAAAUGGGAAAAGCGUGGGACUAAAAGAUAUUUUUCACCUGGUUGUUGUUUAGUCAAAAUGUUAUCCCAGGUAAAGGAAGGGUGGAGGUUGGCGUGAGUUGAGGAUUCUUUCCCAAGGCAAGUCCCAGCAGCCGGCGGUCCUGCUGAAGCCAGAGGGGUACGCAGCCUUCCCUCCAGCCGCCGGCAUCUGUGAAACCCAUUCAUAGGCCUUUAUCGGCCCCAAGAUGUCUCUUCUCUUCCAAAACUAUCUAUUUUUUUAUUAGAGCUAGCUGCCAGAUUAUUGUAUGCUGUUCAUGCCCUUAAAAAGUGAUCUGGGAAUUGAAUUUCUGACAGUUAAGCUACAUCCUAAACCGCUAGGGGAGGGCUUCUUGGGGUUCAUGAAAAAACUUCAGCGUCUAUGAGUUCAUAAGAUUGUAUCCAAUAUGCGGUUUAUGGAUGAGAAAACUGAAGCUCAGAGAGAUUGAAGGGUUUACAUGGACCUGGCUGCUUCAGGCCCUCCAGACCAGCAUUGAUUGCCCAGAGUUACAAGAAAAGGAAGCACAAAUUCUCCAGGUGGCUCACUGAGAGUGAUGAAGAGACUUCUGUGAUCCACUCACCCUGGAGCUGCAGUAGGGGACAGAUGUAAGCCAGGUAUUAGCAACCCAGAUGAUCUUGGGAAGCCACUUCAUUGAAGACAACAGAGCCUCUGUCAGCCCGGCUCCUGAAUAACUACCACAAUCUCCACCCUUUUCCUCUCCUCAAACAUGAAGAUCAGUAUUAAACUAUUACUUGAGUAAAAAAUAAGGUUUUGUUUUGUAUUAAACCAUUGCUAUUUGGGAGUUUAUUUGUUGUAGCAGCUGGCAUUGCCUGAACUAACCCAACUGAAUUAAAUUAUCCAGG
rnacentral:lncRNA from 1 species